rnacentral:rRNA from 1 species
GGUUAAGCGACUAAGCGUACACGGUGGAUGCCCUGGCAGUCAGAGGCGAUGAAGGACGUGCUAAUCUGCGAAAAGCGUCGGUAAGGUGAUAUGAACCGUUAUAACCGGCGAUGUCCGAAUGGGGAAACCCAGUGUGAUUCGUCACACUAUCGUUAACUGAAUACAUAGGUUAACGAGGCGAACCGGGGGAACUGAAACAUCUAAGUACCCCGAGGAAAAGAAAUCAACCGAGAUUCCCCCAGUAGCGGCGAGCGAACGGGGAGCAGCCCAGAGUCUGAAUCAGCUUGUGUGUUAGUGGAACGGUCUGGAAAGUCCGACGGUACAGGGUGAUAGUCCCGUACACCAAAAUGCACAGGUUGUGAACUCGAAGAGUAGGGCGGGACACGUGGUAUCCUGUCUGAAUAUGGGGGGACCAUCCUCCAAGGCUAAAUACUCCUGACUGACCGAUAGUGAACCAGUACCGUGAGGGAAAGGCGAAAAGAACCCCGGCGAGGGGAGUGAAAAAGAACCUGAAACCGUGUACGUACAAGCAGUGGGAGCACCUUCGGGUGUGACUGCGUACCUUUUGUAUAAUGGGUCAGCGACUUAUAUUCUGUAGCAAGGUUAACCGUAUAGGGGAGCCGCAGGGAAACCGAGUCUUAACUGGGCGUUAAGUUGCAGGGUAUAGACCCGAAACCCGGUGAUCUAGCCAUGGGCAGGUUGAAGGUUGGGUAACACUAACUGGAGGACCGAACCGACUAAUGUUGAAAAAUUAGCGGAUGACUUGUGGCUGGGGGUGAAAGGCCAAUCAAACCGGGAGAUAGCUGGUUCUCCCCGAAAGCUAUUUAGGUAGCGCCUCGUGAAUUCAUCUUCGGGGGUAGAGCACUGUUUCGGCUAGGGGGUCAUCCCGACUUACCAACCCGAUGCAAACUACGAAUACCGAAGAAUGUUAUCACGGGAGACACACGGCGGGUGCUAACGUCCGUCGUGAAGAGGGAAACAACCCAGACCGCCAGCUAAGGUCCCAAAGUCAUGGUUAAGUGGGAAACGAUGUGGGAAGGCACAGACAGCCAGGAUGUUGGCUUAGAAGCAGCCAUCAUUUAAAGAAAGCGUAAUAGCUCACUGGUCGAGUCGGCCUGCGCGGAAGAUGUAACGGGGCUAAACCAUGCACCGAAGCUGCGGCAGCGACACUAUGUGUUGUUGGGUAGGGGAGCGUUCUGUAAGCCUGCGAAGGUGACCUGUGAGGGUUGCUGGAGGUAUCAGAAGUGCGAAUGCUGACAUAAGUAACGAUAAAGCGGGUGAAAAGCCCGCUCGCCGGAAGACCAAGGGUUCCUGUCCAACGUUAAUCGGGGCAGGGUGAGUCGACCCCUAAGGCGAGGCCGAAAGGCGUAGUCGAUGGGAAACAGGUUAAUAUUCCUGUACUUGGUGUUACUGCGAAGGGGGGACGGAGAAGGCUAUGUUAGCCGGGCGACGGUUGUCCCGGUUUAAGCAUGUAGGCUGAUUGUCCAGGCAAAUCCGGAUAAUCAAGGCUGAGGUGUGAUGACGAGGCACUACGGUGCUGAAGUAACAAAUGCCCUGCUUCCAGGAAAAGCCUCUAAGCAUCAGGUAACAUCAAAUCGUACCCCAAACCGACACAGGUGGUCAGGUAGAGAAUACCAAGGCGCUUGAGAGAACUCGGGUGAAGGAACUAGGCAAAAUGGUGCCGUAACUUCGGGAGAAGGCACGCUGGUGUGUAGGUGAAGUCCCUGCGGAUGGAGCUGAGACCAGUCGAAGAUACCAGCUGGCUGCAACUGUUUAUUAAAAACACAGCACUGUGCAAACACGAAAGUGGACGUAUACGGUGUGACGCCUGCCCGGUGCCGGAAGGUUAAUUGAUGGGGUUAUCCGUAAGGAGAAGCUCUUGAUCGAAGCCCCGGUAAACGGCGGCCGUAACUAUAACGGUCCUAAGGUAGCGAAAUUCCUUGUCGGGUAAGUUCCGACCUGCACGAAUGGCGUAAUGAUGGCCAGGCUGUCUCCACCCGAGACUCAGUGAAAUUGAACUCGCUGUGAAGAUGCAGUGUACCCGCGGCAAGACGGAAAGACCCCGUGAACCUUUACUAUAGCUUGACACUGAACAUUGAGCCUUGAUGUGUAGGAUAGGUGGGAGGCUUUGAAGCGUGGACGCCAGUCUGCGUGGAGCCAACCUUGAAAUACCACCCUUUAAUGUUUGAUGUUCUAACGUUGGCCCCUUACCGGGGUUGCGGACAGUGUCUGGUGGGUAGUUUGACUGGGGCGGUCUCCUCCCAAAGCGUAACGGAGGAGCACGAAGGUUAGCUAAUCCUGGUCGGACAUCAGGAGGUUAGUGCAAUGGCAUAAGCUAGCUUGACUGCGAGCGUGACGGCGCGAGCAGGUGCGAAAGCAGGUCAUAGUGAUCCGGUGGUUCUGAAUGGAAGGGCCAUCGCUCAACGGAUAAAAGGUACUCCGGGGAUAACAGGCUGAUACCGCCCAAGAGUUCAUAUCGACGGCGGUGUUUGGCACCUCGAUGUCGGCUCAUCACAUCCUGGGGCUGAAGUAGGUCCCAAGGGUAUGGCUGUUCGCCAUUUAAAGUGGUACGCGAGCUGGGUUUAGAACGUCGUGAGACAGUUCGGUCCCUAUCUGCCGUGGGCGCUGGAGAAUUGAGGGGGGCUGCUCCUAGUACGAGAGGACCGGAGUGGACGCAUCACUGGUGUUCGGGUUGUCAUGCCAAUGGCACUGCCCGGUAGCUAAAUGCGGAAGAGAUAAGUGCUGAAAGCAUCUAAGCACGAAACUUGCCCCGAGAUGAGUUCUCCCUGAGACUUUAAGUCUCCUGAAGGAACGUUGAAGACGACGACGUUGAUAGGCCGGGUGUGUAAGCGCAGCGAUGCGUUGAGCUAACCGGUACUAAUGAACCGUGAGGCUUAACCUU